rnacentral:lncRNA from 1 species
AACCUCUCUCACCAUUUCCUAAAUCUUCCUAUAUAUAGUUGAGCAAUUGCACCAUCCUUUCGAUAGGUGGUAGCUUCCAAAAUUUACCGGUUUCUGUAGAAUUCAUGGCCGCCAAAGCUCUAACCACACUUUUCUUUCUCGUCUUACUUUCAACUUCAUCCACCUUAUCUGUAGCAUCAAGAAAAGUUUCUGGGACAAGAAGUAAGUUUCGUAGUCCAUUACCUUAAAUAAGCUCUGAUAUCUUGGUUUAUCGUUUUAUGCAUGUUGUUCUCUGGUCUCAUGCAGAUGGAUUUCGGGGUAAAGUUGCCAAUCUUCCAGAGGUAAAGAUAGGCCCACCUGUCUAUCAUUCACCAUCUUCUCCGCGAGGACACGUACCAACAGGCGGCCGAAGAUGAUUGAUUUUCCCCAGUCGGACGAUACUUCAAGAUUUGGGCUGGGAUGUUGCUUCUUUUUAUAGUUGUUUGUAAGCCUAGAUACGAAUGGGCAUCUCAAGUUUCAAAAUAAUCUGUUUUUAUGUGUCCUCGUUUUGCUUAUGGAAAGCUGUAUAUUCAGUUUCCUGUUGUUUGUUUUUGUGGUUCAUUUGGACAGUGCUUGGUUUGUUCAUGGUUGGUAAAUAUCAAAACAACCAUCCCAUGACUCAUGCAUAACGUAAUCGGUUCUAUCCAUAUAAAUUGAUGCCUUUGCUAAGUUGAUGGAUUCGAAUCGCUUAUCAUGUCAUCUAUAUAAAUCUAAGGAUUUUUCU